rnacentral:rRNA from 1 species
UACGUAGGGGGCAAGCGUUGUCCGGAUUUAUUGGGCGUGAAGAGCGUGUAGGCGGCUUUACAGGUCCGUUGUGAAAACUCGAGGCUCAACCUCGAGACGCCGGUGGAAACCGUAAAGCUAGAGUCCGGAAGAGGAGAGUGGAAUUCCUGGUGUAGCGGUGAAAUGCGCAGAUAUCAGGAGGAACACCCGUGGCGAAAGCGGCUCUCUGGGACGGUACUGACGCUGAGACGCGAAAGCGUGGGGAGCGAACAGG